UACGUAGGGGGCGAGCGUUGUCCGGAGUUACUGGGCGUAAAGCGCUUGUAGGCGGUCCACCAAGUUUGGGGUGACAGUUGCCGACUUAAUCGGCAAAGUGCCUCAAAGACUGGCGGACUUGAGGGCCACAGAGGGACAUGGAACUCCAGGUGUAGUGGUGAAAUGCGUAGAUAUCUGGAAGAACACCACAGGCGAAGGCAGUGUCCUGGGUGGUCGCUGACGCUGAGAGGCGAAAGCCAGGGGAGCGAACGGG
rnacentral:rRNA from 1 species